UCCUACGGGAGGCAGCAGUGGGGAAUAUUGGACAAUGGGGGGAACCCUGAUCCAGCCAUGCCGCGUGUGUGAAGAAGGCCUUAUGGUUGUAAAGCACUUUAAGCGAGGAGGAGGCUACUCUAGUUAAUACCUAGGGAUAGUGGACGUUACUCGCAGAA
rnacentral:rRNA from 1 species